AUAGGAUUUAACUCAUAUUACCUGAUUCCAAAGAAAAAAAUCUACCUACACCAAGCCCUUCACUCCUACACCUGGAAAAUAAACCUAAAGCCAUCAUCAUCCCCCACUCAGUUUCCAUCAAAAUGUCAGACCCUAAACACUCUCUAAUGUUCCACAUGUGAGAAAAGAUGUAUCAUCUCUUCAUACUCAAUUGCAUUGCUCUCCCUAUAGCUGUACAGAUGGUUGGUUUGGCUCCAAACCGAACUCCAGGAAUACGAGCCCAUGUAUGAACCACCAAACUGAAAAAAUUCAAUACAAUUGAAUUUGUUGAUUUUGGGCAUUUUUAAUCAAGAAGAUCAAGCAGUUGCUUCCU
rnacentral:misc_RNA from 1 species